ACCUCUGCAAUAGGCGAAAGCUUGACAGGGUUACUCUGAGUGAUUUCCGUUAAGGAAAUCUUUUGGCACCUCUAAAAAUGGUGCAGAAUAAGGGGUGGGCAAGUCUGGUGUCAGCCGCCGCGGUAAUACCAGCACCCCGAGUGGUCGGGACGUUUAUUGGGCCUAAAGCAUCCGUAGCCGGUUCUACAAGUCUUCCGUUAAAUCCAACUGCUUAACAGGUGGGCUGCGGAAGAUACUAUAGAGCUAGGAGGCGGGAGAGGCAAGCGGUACUCGAUGGGUAGGGGUAAAAUCCGUUGAUCCAUUGAAGACCACCAGUGGCGAAGGCGGCUUGCCAGAACGCGCUCGACGGUGAGGGAUGAAAGCUGGGGGAGCAAACCGGAUUAGAUACCCGGGUAGUCCCAGCUGUAAACGAUGCAGACUCGGUGAUGAGUUGGCUAUAUGCCAWCUCAGUGCCGCAGGGAAGCCGUUAAGUUUGCCGCCUGGGGAGUACGGUCGCAAGACUGAAACUUAA
rnacentral:rRNA from 1 species